GACUCUUGGCAAUGGAUAUCUCGGCUCUCGGAUCGAUGAAGAAUGUAGCAAAAUGCGAUACUUGGUGCGAAUUGCAGAAUCCCGUGAACCAUCGAGUUUGUGAACGCAAGUUGCACCCCAGGCCUUCUGGCCGAGGGCACGUCUGCCUGGGUGUCA
rnacentral:rRNA from 1 species